rnacentral:lncRNA from 1 species
GCUACUGUUGAGCACAUCAGCACAUCGGAUAUURUGUCCCUUCCUCCUCGUGUUCGUCCCAUUACUUGGUGCGUCWACAAGGUUAAGACUCGCUCUGAUGGUUCUCUUGAACAUUACAAAGCUCGUCUUGUGGCUCGUGGCUUUCAGUAGAAUCAUGGUCCUAAUUACGAUGAGAGUUUCAGCUYAUGCGGGCCAUACGACAAUUGUUCACACACAUCUUGUUGCGGCCUUUAUUCGUCACUCCGUCUCGGCUUGAUGUUAACAAAGACUUUUUUAAUGGUGAAUUUUGUCAGGGGUUUUACGUGCAGCCACCACUUGGGUAUUCCACAUCUAGAUUCUCAUGUUCAUKKUUUUACNGUCAAUGUAACUUCCCUGCCAGUCGAUAGUCGAGGCACUCUUGGCAGUUUGUCUUGCAUGUUCCUU